rnacentral:tRNA from 1 species
CUAGAGGCUUGUGUUCACAAGUCAAGCGUUCGCACUUAUCGGUUUGUUUGCUGUUACAGCCAAGGGUCUGUAGCUCAGGUGGUUAGAGCACCGUCUUGAUAAGGCGGGGGUCGUAGGUUCAAGUCCUACCAGACCCACCAAGUUAUCGCCGGGGGAUUAGCUCAGCUGGGAGAGCACCUGCUUUGCAAGCAGGGGGUCGUCGGUUCGAUCCCGUCAUCCUCCACCAGUACCUUGGGGUUGUAGUCAAAGACAAGAAUUCAGGCGAGGCGCCUGAGUGUUUGUCUUUGGCUGUUGCCAACAGGCGUUAAGCCUGGCUGUUCUUUAACAAUAUGGGAUGUAGUAAAGGUGUCGCGAGCGUUGAUGAGACGCUGUAGUACAGACGCGAUACCGGGUUGUGAUUGUAUCAACCAAAAAGUAUUUAAAGUGAUCGAAAGAUGACUUGGAAUACGGCACAAACGCGAGAACUCAGACCUAUGACGGUCGUGUCCGAGAGACACACUCGUUAUAGG